GUAAAGCGGUGUGCGUGGUGCCUGUCUGCGUUUAGUGCCGUCUCCAGUCUGUGUUUUACAGUCUGUGACCGUGCUCACACCACACCUGCAGCCACAGAGCCACUGGAGAUCAUAGUACUGGCCUAGUGACGUCAUCACGACCGUCUACCACUGGUCAGCCUCCAUUCUCUCCUACACAA
ensembl:snoRNA Small nucleolar RNA SNORA23